rnacentral:rRNA from 1 species
AGUGAACGCUGGCGGUAGGCCUAACACAUGCAAGUCGAACGGCAGCACAGUAAGAGCUUGCUCUUACGGGUGGCGAGUGGCGGACGGGUGAGGAAUACAUCGGAAUCUACUUUUUCGUGGGGGAUAACGUAGGGAAACUUACGCUAAUACCGCAUACGACCUACGGGUGAAAGCAGGGGAUCUUCGGACCUUGCGCGAUUGAAUGAGCCGAUGUCGGAUUAGCUAGUUGGCGGGGUAAAGGCCCACCAAGGCGACGAUCCGUAGCUGGUCUGAGAGGAUGGAUAAGCCACCUGGAAACUGAAAACCGGCCCAAACCCUUAGGGGGGGCAGAGGGGGGGAUUUUUGGCAAAGGGGCGCAAGCCUGACCCACCCAUACCGGGGGGGGGAAGAAGGCCUUCGGGUUUAAAAGCCUUUUUUUGGGGAAAAAAAAGCAGCAGGUUAAAACCCCGCUGUUUGGAGGGAACCAAAAAAAAAAGCACCGGCAAAUUCGGG